rnacentral:snoRNA from 1 species
UGCCUCAUUCCAGAGAGAGGCCACUGUCUGACAUGAUGGUGUGCUCCUAAUCUGGUCUCAAGUGGGCUAAAUUUAGGAACACAAAGUCAUGCUUCCAUCACAGUAAAUGGCAUUGCAGUUGUGACAAUGAGAUCUGUAACAUUU